AUGAAAUCUCGUAGCGAUGUUCUCCCUAUAUACAAACGUUUUGCUGCCAUGGUUCACACCCAGUUUGCCACGCCCAUUCGUACUUUUCGUGCUGACUCCGCUGGAGAGUAUAUCUCUCAGCUGUUGCGUGGUUUUCUCGCGGAACAGGGUACUCUUGCCCAGUUCUCGUGUCCUGGUGCUCAUGCUCAGAAUGGCGUUGCCGAACGAAAGCAUCGUCAUUUGCUUGAGACGGCUCGUGCGCUGAUGAUUGCUGCUUCCCUUCCACCCCAUUUUUGGGCUGAGGCUGUUUCAGCAUCCACCUACCUCAUCAACAUUCGGCCAUCGACUGCUCUGCAGGGUGGUAUUCCUAUGGAGUGUCUCACUGGUCGCUCUCCUGACUACUCAGCUCUUCGUAUGUUUGGAUGCGUGUGCUAUGUUCUUCUUGCCCCCCGAGAACGCACCAAACUGAUUGCUCAGUCGGUUGAGUGUGUUUUCCUUGGCUACAGUGAUGAGCACAAGGGCUAUCGAUGUUGGGAUCCUGUGGGUCGUCGCUUGCGCAUCUCGCGUGAUGUGAAUUUUGACGAGUCUCGUUCCUACUACCCACGUUCUUCUUCCUCGAGUUUCUCUGUGGACGACCUUUCUUUCCUUCUCCUUCCCGAUACACCCUGCUAUGUGCCUCAUGUGUCACCUCUUCCUCCGGCACCUCUCAUUUCUUCUCAUUCACCACCGACCCCGUCUUCUCCAUCCUCCUCCUCCACCUCUCCACCAUCAUCUCCAGUCCGUCGCCCUCUCUCACCGUUUCCUCUCCACUAUACUCGUCGAUCUCGUACUGAGGAUGUCUCCUCUGACGAUCCUCCCACCUCUGGUACACCUCCUCCCACGCCUCCCCCGGUUCACAACCUCCGUGCUCGGCCUCGCCCCCCGCCUGAUCGCUACUCCCCUGGUCGGUACGGUCUCUCUGUUAUUGCUGAGCCCACUUCCUAUCGGACUGCCAUGACUCAGCCUGAAUGGCAGCUUGCGAUGACCGAAGAGCUUGCUGCUCUUGAGCGCUCUAGCACAUGGGAUCUGGUUCCCCUUCCUUCCGGUGUUCGUCCCAUCACCUGCAAGUGGGUCUACAAGAUUAAGACUCGCUCCGAUGGUUCUCUUGAGCGCUAG
rnacentral:rRNA from 1 species